GCCUGGCUAGUUCAGUAGGUAGAGCAGGGGACUCUUAAUCCCAGGGUCACGGGUUCAAGCCCCAUGUGGGGCA
rnacentral:tRNA from 1 species